GACGAACGCUGGCGGCGUGCUUAACACAUGCAAGUCGAACGGUAAGGCCCUUCGGGGUACACGAGUGGCGAACGGGUGAGUAACACGUGGGUGAUCUGCCCUGCACUUCGGGAUAAGCCUGGGAAACUGGGUCUAAUACCGGAUAGGACCCUGGGAUGCAUGUCCUGGGGUGGAAAGCUUUUGCGGUGUGGGAUGGGCCCGCGGCCUAUCAGCUUGUUGGUGGGGUGAUGGCCUACCAAGGCGACGACGGGUAGCCGACCUGAGGGGGUGACCGGCCACACUGGGACUGAGAUACGGCCCAGACUCCUACGGGAGGCAGCAGUGGGGAAUAUUGCACAAUGGGCGCAAGCCUGAUGCAGCGACGCCGCGUGAGGGAUGACGGCCUUCGGGUUGUAAACCUCUUCCAGCACCGACGAAGCGCAAGUGACGGUAGGUGCAGAAGAAGGACCGGCCAACUACGUGCCAGCCGCCGCGGUAA
rnacentral:rRNA from 1 species